AUUCACCAAGGUCCGCCUGUGUGUAUGGAGAGCAAGGCUUAUUCAUGAGGAUAUAAUGGGGUGUGAGAGAUGUGUAAUCUCAGCAGCUUCAUCUACCCAAUGUGUUAUUUUUUCUCCUUCUUCAGGAUAUCUCAUUGGGGGAUCUGGAUUAAUGGCCAUUCAGAGAAAAGGAGUGACUGUAGGUACCUCUUUCAGUAAAUGUUCUCCAAGCAGAGAAGUGGAAUCCAUAGAUGGAGACAUGGAGAGAUGGCAGACUAUGUGUACAGGUUAUCCAAGGUUUGCCGGAGGUGUGCUUCUUCAAAUCUAUCCCUGUCUUUAGUCAUCCCUUCUCUACUGAAAAUGUCCAAUUCUCCAACAGAGCAGCUUGUCAUCGACCCGGAAGGGGUGGCAAGAAAGGCCCCAUGUGAUGCAGAAAUGGUGGUGCUUGGAGGAUAGAGUGGAUCACAUCCUGAAAGCCUCCACAUGGCCGCAUGCUGGCUCACUUUCCAAUCUGCCUCCUCAGAGUCGUCAUGGAUCUGGAGACAAGCAGAUGGCAGUAGUAUAACACCUUCCCUGUUCUCUAGCUCUCAUCCCCAGAGAAAGAAAGUCAAAGCUCAGUGCGGUGAGCACAUACAAGUGCUUUUAGAGAAGUACCAAAUGCCUGGCCUCUAUCUGGGACCUGGCAUUUAGUAGAUGUGCAACACUGAUUCGAAGAAUGGAACCAUGAAGCACACUUCUUCCGAGGCACAAAGUUCUUUCACCUGUAAAAUGGGAAUAUGGAUGAGCUGGUGGCCUCUGAAUUCCUUUUGAGCAGUAACAUCCUCUACCACCAGCCCAGGACUCUCAUUACCCCAUCUUGCUUUCUUUUCUCCAUAGAUCCUAUCACUAUCUGGCCUAUUUUAUUUAUUUGUUGUCUAUCUUACACCCCUAAAAUACAAGGUCCUCAAGGCCAAACAUAGUUGUCUGCCGUAUUUGCCACUGUAUUUCCAGCAGUAGACAUAUAACAUUACAUAUAGUAAUCGAUGAACAAAUGUCUCUUAAAUGAACAACUGAAUGGAUUCUCACAUGAGAAAACUAAGGCCCAGAGGGCUUUAGUAAGUUUCCCAAACAACUCAGGCAGCAAGUAGCGGAGCUUGGGUCAGAGGUACCUUGACUCAGAAGCCCAGGCUUUUAGCAAGUAUUCUAUAUAAAUGAGUUCAAUUAACUCAACAAAUUUUUCAGGGGGCACACAAUACAAUGCAGGUAUUAAAAAUGGGGGAUUUUUGGUGCCACUGCUGCAGCUUGCUCGGCAAGAGAUGGAUGUGUGGUUGAUAGGGAAACUGAUAUGAUUCUCAACAAAGCCUGCAAAUUAAUCAUACUUAAUGAAUGUGACUAAUGUGUUAAAGGAAGGAGCGAUUAAAAUAUUAGCACGUCUGAACUUCUCCUCCCUGGCUAAUUUGUUCUCCUCCCUAGGGUUACCGUCUU
rnacentral:lncRNA from 1 species